CGGCGGCCCGGGCGGCCUUGCCGGUCUCGGCACGCUCGCGGGGUGUGCGGUGCGCGACGACGCCGUCGGCCCGGUGGUGCGAGGUCAUCGCAGUCGG
rnacentral:tRNA from 1 species